rnacentral:lncRNA from 1 species
GCAAACUCAAGAGCUUUCGCUCCACACUUGCCCACACGUUUUUACCUCCAAGCUUUCAAGUGUCCUAGCUUUCCAAAGCUUCAAAAGCUCUCCAACUUCUUCUUCUAAUCUUCUUGUUCAUCUUUACAAGUAAGAAGUGUUGUUUGCUUUAAUAUUCCACUCCUCUAAUCACCUCUUGUGUGUAUCCACUUUGGUGGAGAGGGUUGUCUCAAUAGUACCAAAGUGUGAGAGAAGGUUUUCGAGCUCAACCAUAAAGCUCUAGUUUGGUUUUAUAGAGUUUUCGGGAAAACUCUUAGGUCGAAUCUACCUUGAAAGAUUUCUAGGUUUUUAAGAGUUCUUUGAUACUCUAAGGUACUAACUUACCCGCAAAAGAUAGAGAUUCUUAAAAGUGCUCUCGAUACUCUAAAGUGUGAGUCUAUCCGUAAAAGACUGAUUCCUAAGCGAAGUAGCCUUAAAGCUUAGAGAGGUUUUUAAGAGUUCCUUGAUACUCUAAGGUACUAACUUACCCGCAAAAGUUAGAGGUUCUUAAGAGUGCCCUUGAUACUCUAAGGUGUGAGUCUACCCGUAAAAGACUGGUUCCUAAAUGAAGUAGCUUUAAAGCUUAGAGAGGUUCUUAAGAGUUUCCUUGAUACUCUAAGGUUUUGCCAUAACCUUUAGGCGAGUGAAUUCCGACAGUUGGUCAGGACUGGAUUAGCCCUUGUUUGGGUGAACCAGUAUAAAUCUCUCGUGUUAUUCUUUGUUAACUUUAGUUUUUAUCUUUUAUCUAAAACAACUAAACAACACUUAAUUGAAAAGGAUCCCUCUUCCAGUUAUCUGGUCAAAUACAGAGGUUGACUACUUUACGCAGAUCCCUCAUCCAGUUAUCUGGUCAACUAUCUGAAGUUAUAUUUAUUGCUUUAAAUCUUUAUUCAUAUAUUUGUUCAAGCAUUUACUUAUCAUAUAUAU